rnacentral:misc_RNA from 1 species
AUCUCAUCAAUUCUAACACUUCCCCUUGAUGAGAUUUUUCUGAAGUUAUGGAAUCAAGACUUUUUAAAAACUUUUAAAUAAAUAAGCAACUAUUGUUGGAAAAGGAAUGAAGCUUUGGCGAGUUUCAGAUGAGACCAGAUGAUUGGGUAGGAUUGCCAACUUAAGGCAACUUCGUCGAAGAGGUCCCUGGCAAGAAACGGUGGCUGGACGCUCAUUUAUGCAUCGACAUGUGGAUUUUGGGUAGAAAACAUGUAGAUGUACAUGGAGGCUCACGUGCUUGGCUUCGACAUUAGGGUUUCUUUGGGGAAGGUUGCCGGUGAUUGUACUUUUAGGGGGGAGGAGUGAUGAGACUCAUAUUAUCCUCACACACCUUUAAUAGGGAUAAUGGGUUUCUCGGCAAUAAUGGCUUCAAGCCAGAAAAAAGAAGAAAGAGCAGGGACUCAAACCCUAGACUUUGAUGAAGGAGGAAAGGAGAGUAAAGACUUCAACCCUUGGCUUUCAAA